rnacentral:tRNA from 1 species
GGACGCUUAGCUCAGUUGGGAGAGCAUCGCCCUUACAAGGCGAGGGUCACUGGUUCGAGCCCAGUAGCGUCCACCA